rnacentral:rRNA from 1 species
UUGCACGCUGGCGGCAGGCCUCACACAUGCAAGUCGAGCGGAUGAAGGGAGCUUGCUCCUGGAUUCAGCGGCGGACGGGUGAGUAAUGCCUAGGAAUCUGCCUGGUAGUGGGGGAUAACGUCCGGAAACGGGCGCUAAUACCGCAUACGUCCUGAGGGAGAAAGUGGGGGAUCUUCGGACCUCACGCUAUCAGAUGAGCCUAGGUCGGAUUAGCUAGUUGGUGGGGUAAAGGCCUACCAAGGCGACGAUCCGUAACUGGUCUGAGAGGAUGAUCAGUCACACUGGAACUGAGACACGGUCCAGACUCCUACGGGAGGCAGCAGUGGGGAAUAUUGGACAAUGGGCGAAAGCCUGAUCCAGCCAUGCCGCGUGUGUGAAGAAGGUCUUCGGAUUGUAAAGCACUUUAAGUUGGGAGGAAGGGCAGUAAGCUAAUACCUUGCUGUUUUGACGUUACCAACAGAAUAAGCACCGGCUAACUUCGUG